UGGUGAGUGGGACACGCGGCGAAAAGAGACCGGUCAGAGAGGAUUCGCAAUAAUCAUUAUGCCGGAUCCUGGGGUCUAUUUAAACCCGCACUCCUCCCCCAAGAGUUACACUCUAUCCGACAGUCUCGUUCUGGCGCCCUUCUUCUCUCUCUGAGAACUCCAAUUUUUCUCAACACCCUUUCCAGCCUUAGGCAUUCCUCGAGCCGUCCCCAU
rnacentral:lncRNA from 1 species